ACGUUAUUGGUGGGAGUGCAGACAAGUUUUGAAACUUUAUUCAAAGGGUGUGUCCUGAUUGCUAAGUUAUUCAAUCUAUUUAUCUUGUGCAGAUGAGAAUCGUUAGGCAAUAGCUUUUUUGCCAAGUUUUGGUCCUCGGUGCUUUGGCUUAACUUGCUACUUUCUGGUCCCUGGUUUACUGAACAUAAAUUUUAGAUGGAAAUAGGGUAAUGAAGUAUAUUGGAGCAAAAAAAAAAACAGUAGGCUACCAUGCGGUUUUGCUGCUGUAACAUACCUGCCUUCAUAAGGAAGUAUAUUUUUUUUCUUUUCUAAUCUAGCUGGUUGUAUAUACCAAUUUCAAAAUUGCUUAAAAUUCUGUAUAGAAAUUGCAUCAGUUCAUGUGCUGAUGGAUGAAUGCAGUCCACUUGUAUCUCUAUUCAUGUUUUUUUCCUCAGUUACCUUCCUUUAUCAGGAGGCCAGUUUUUGUUUAACCAAUUAGAAGAUGGUGCUUUAUCUUUCCAAUUUUCAGUUGUCCAUAUUGCAAAUUAACUAUGAAAUGAGAUGGCGUG
rnacentral:lncRNA from 1 species